UGGGGAAUAUUGCACAAUGGGCGCAAGCCUGAUGCAGCCAUGCCGCGUGUAUGAAGAAGGCCUUCGGGUUGUAAAGUACUUUCAGCGAGGAGGAAGGCGUUGUGGUUAAUAACCGCAACGAUUGACGUUACUCGCAGAAGAAGCACCGGCUAACUCCGUGCCAGCAGCCGCGGUAAUACGGAGGGUGCAAGCGUUAAUCGGAAUUACUGGGCGUAAAGCGCACGCAGGCGGUCUAUCAAGUCGGAUGUGAAAUCCCCGGGCUCAACCUGGGAACUGCAUCCGAAACUGGCAGGCUAGAGUCGUGUAGAGGGGGGUAGAAUUCCAGGUGUAGCGGUGAAAUGCGUAGAGAUCUGGAGGAAUACCGGUGGCGAAGGCGGCCCCCUGGACAAAGACUGACGCUCAGGUGCGAAAGCGUGGGGAGCAAACA
rnacentral:rRNA from 1 species